CCCUAACUUGGUCUGUUGCAACAAGCUCAUCAACUGAUCAUACUGGUGUCUGCUCAACCCUGGUAUCACAGAGCUGUGACCAUCUAUGUGUGUAACAUGUUGAUGGCUGGCAGGAGGAUCCCCAAGAGGAACAGACAAUUUAGGAUUUCCAUGAUUAACAGACACACAUUCCUCACCAUUGGAGACAUGAGCAGCUGCAGAUUUCCUUCCCUUGUUGUAAUUUAUGUUUGAGGAAACCCAUGGAUCUUGUAGCACUUAUCAAUUAAGUGCCCAGAUUUCUUGCAGUAUCUGCAAAAUAAGGUUACUCUAUUUUGCUCAAAAUUAACUCUGGGCCUGAAAAUAGGGGGUCUAGGCACUGUGGCCUGAUUAAACCCAAUUGAGUGCUUGUUUGCAUUAGCAUUAAA
rnacentral:lncRNA from 1 species